UACAGAGGGUGCAAGCGUUGUUCGGAAUUAUUGGGCGUAAAGGGCGCGUAGGCGGCUUGAUGUGUCAAAGGUGAAAUCCCUCGGCUCAACUGAGGAACUGCCUUUGAAACUGUCUGGCUUGAGGCCGGGAGAGGGUAGCGGAAUUCCCAGUGUAGCGGUGAAAUGCGUAGAUACUGGGAGGAACACCGGUGGCGAAGGCGGCUACCUGGGCCGGUUCUGACGCUGAUGCGCGAAAGCGUGGGUAGCAAACAGG
rnacentral:rRNA from 1 species